rnacentral:rRNA from 1 species
UACGUAGGGUGCAGGCGUUUAAUCGGAAUUACUGGGCGUAAAGCGUGCGCAGGCGGUUGCUAAGAGAGAUGUGAAAUCCCCGGGCUUAACCUGGGAACUGCGUUUCUAACUGGCAGGCUUGAGUGUGGCAGAGGGGGGUGGAAUUCCGACGUGUAGCAGUGAAAUGCGUAGAGAUGUGGAGGAACACCGAUGGCGAAGGCAGCCCCUGGGCUAACACUGACGCUCAUGCACGGAAAGCGUGGGGAGCAAACAGG